GGGCAGGUAGAUCAGCUGGAAGAUCGUUAGAUUUGCAUUCUGAAGGCCUCGGGUUCAAAUCCCGACCUGUCCA
rnacentral:tRNA from 1 species